GCGGCUUGAGAAAACCCAUCAGUUUGGGCAAACAAAACCUAAUUUCGAUCUUGGGAUUGGCAAACGCUCCGAUGGUUUCUGGCUUAUUUGCAUUUCGAGGAGGCAUCGAUUUCAAUGGGAAAGAGUCCUGAAUGGGAAUGGCGAUGGGAAAAGAGAGCGCAGGAAAUAUGAAUAUAGAUGAAGAAUCGCAAGCCCCUCCAAAGGAUCUUCUUGUCCAAGUCCUGGCUUGUGUCCUGCGUGGCCCCACCUUGGGACCUCUCCCCCGAUGCCGGCUCUUUGGCCCGCGGCCGGGGCAAACGGUAAAUGUUGCACCUGCCCAAUGAGCGCGACGAUAUCCUGGUCCUGGUGCAUCCUCUCGAUCGGAGCAGCUGCUCCUUCUCCCUUUUUUCCCGCUACAGGUGCGCGUGUGCCAAGAAAGAAGGAAGCAAACGGGUGCACUGGAAGGAAAAUUACCUUCUAUCUGGAAUAAAUUAAGUCCCUGCUCUAGGAAAUUAAUCUAAUAGCAGACCGAAGGGGAGCCUGGAAGAGAGAGGGGGAGCGGCAGGUGAAAGGAAAGAGAAAGCCAGAGAGAGGAAAGCGUGUGCCCAGGCCCUGAUCGCCCCAUCUAAUUUACAUAAUCCCCGAUUGACCCCAGAUUAUGCCCAGAAAAUCAUGUAAUUCCCCGCCCAUCUGUAUCUAUCCCCCUCAUUCUUAUUGUAUCUGCUCCUCGGCUCUGUGACGUCAGCGCUGUUUAUUAUGAAAUUUCCUGCCCGAGCGGAAAUCACAAAAAUGAGUUCGCUUUCCGGUAUGAUCUGAAGAAAGGGGGAAAUCUGCCGGGUUGCCAAAUUGAAAUGCAAUAAAAUUUACACUAGCAGCAGCGGCGGCAGCAACAACAGCAACAGCAAUUACAAUGCACUUGAACAUUGCAUAAACACAAAGGCCAAAACAACAACUUUCAGACGGUCCACCAAGGCAUUGUGCACCCCAUAAAAGGGUCAGACUUAAGGUGGAGUAGGUGUAAAAAAGACCAUUAAUUUGUUAUAAGAACUUAGGGCAUUUUUAUAGAUAAAUCAAGAAAUGCUUCUGUAAAUAAUCACAAAAUUUAAGUAUAUAAAUGUGCAAUUCUCUGGGAAGAUAGGUAAUGAUUUAUGUAAAUCUAUCUAAAGUCUCGGACACUUUUGCUGCCCGACAAACUGCAGGCACAGAUUGCAUCCAGAAGAUACAGAUGGAGCGACAGAAACGGAGAGAAACGACGCUUUCCGUUAACAU